UUCUUUUUGUUAUAAUAUUUAAAGAGAAAGUUUAUAGCGGUUGGCUAAGUAUAGAAAGAGGGGUGAUGCCUAUGAGUAUAGGUAUUUCCCUAUCAAACUAGAAAGGCAAAAAUUUUUGAGUGUCUCAGACAGCUUAACCUUGAUGAUUGCAUUUGCAAGUUUCAUUGUUAUGUUGCUCAAUCUCAU
rnacentral:ncRNA from 10 species